ensembl:antisense
ACAUUCAGAUCCAACACCUCUCUUGCGUGUUCGACUGUCUGUCACUACAUCCUAAUCUUGCCCAUCUACCCUAGAGACUCUUUUCUACGCAGGCACAGGGGACCAGAGGGCCUGCGGCAACUGUCUUCCCUUAAACUGGGCUUGAUUUUCUUGGAUCGACUGGAAGACAGCAAGACCCAGCAAUCCUCUCAUUGCUUCUCCUGUAGCUGGAAUAACAGGUUCUUCACUGACCCUGGAGUUCCCCGCUUCAGUGACAUGUGCCUGACCAGCAAGCCCCGAGGAUGUGCCUGUCUCCAAAACACCAGCGCUGUGGCUACAGACAUGUGACAUUAUGCCUUGAGUACUGAGGACCCAAGUUCAUAUCCAAGCACUUUACCCAUUGAGUAACCCCUCCAACCUCAAGAUUCUUUGAUGAAAGGAAGAGAAAGCCAGAGGGCAAAAAGAAACAACUUGCUAUAGUUGAAUCUGCAAGAGGAAGUAAAAGCAGAGGCUGGAGAGAUUUAAUAAAAGGGUCUUUUGUUGAACCUGAGCACAUGGAUUCAGCUGGCUUGGCUGAGCAGCAAGCUCCAGAGGUCCUCCUAUAGCUGGCUCUGCAGCAUCGGGAUGGCAUGCAGGCACUGGUGCUCUGCAGCAUUGGGAUGGCAUGCUGGCACUGGUGCUCUGCAGCAUCGGGAUGGCAUGCAGGCACUGGUGCUCUGCAGCAUCGGGAUGGCAUGCAGGCACUGGUGCUCUGCAGCAUCGGGAUGGCAUGCAGGCACUGGUGCACUGUAGCAUUGGGACAGCAGGCAGGCACUGAUGCACUGCGCCUGGCUGCUUUCUGUGGCUGCUGAGGAUUGGACUCAGGUCCUCAUGCUUUCACCAUGGCACUUAGCCAACCCAGCCAGCUUCCCAGGGCCUCUUCUGUCUGGUGUUGAAGGGCCGGGGUUAAACUCAGGUAGGCUAAGGAGCUUUGUAUCACUGCCUACAGCCCCAGAGCUCUUUUUAAUCUCUGUCAAUGUUUGUUCAUAUUUAAGAAAACCCUCUACCAGCAUAAUACUGCAUAUUCAGUGGGGGAAAUAAGCAAAUUAUGCCACUAAGGCCUUUGCCUUAAUGUAAUCAUUACAAUUUUGUGAACGAGUAAAAAUUAUGCCAAAAUUG